UUCUCCCGGGGACUCGGGGGGUUCACGGGUUUACUCCCACACCCAAAUACGUUACCAAAUGUUCUUGGGGGGAUUGGUGCGUCGCAGCCCCGGACCAAGGCGCCCGCCGGAGGACCAACCAAAACUCUUUUUGUAUACCCCCUCGCGGGUUUUUUAUAAUCUGAGCCUUCUCGGCGCCUCUCGUAGGCGUUUCGAAAAUGAAUCAAAACUUUCAACAACGGAUCUCUUGGUUCUGGCAUCGAUGAAGAACGCAGCGAAAUGCGAUAAGUAAUGUGAAUUGCAGAAUUCAGUGAAUCAUCGAAUCUUUGAACGCACAUUGCGCCCGCCAGUAUUCUGGCGGGCAUGCCUGUCCGAGCGUCAUUUCAACCCUCGAACCCCUCCGGGGGGUCGGCGUUGGGGAUCGGCCCUCCCUUAGCGGGUGGCCGUCUCCGAAAUACAGUGGCGGUCUCGCCGCAGCCUCUCCUGCGCAGUAGUUUGCACACUCGCAUCGGGAGCGCGGCGCGUCCACAGCCGUUAAACACCCAACUUCGGAAAUGUUGACCUCGGAACAGGUAGGAAUACCGGUGAAGCUUCCGCAUAUAAAAACCCGGAAAGA
rnacentral:sRNA from 1 species